rnacentral:pre_miRNA from 1 species
UAUGAGAGAAAAUAUAAUGAUGUUAGCCGCGCAAUCUGCGUGGGCCACCAUGCUAGUUACUAUUAUAUGAUAAAACAUGAAUAGUACUUUAUGUGUGACUAAAUAUUUUUAAAUUUUUUAUAAAUUUUUCAAAUAAGACGGACGGUCAAACGUUGGGCACGGAUAUCCACGGCUGCACUUAUU